rnacentral:rRNA from 1 species
CGGAGGAUCCAAGCGUUAUCCGGAAUCAUUGGGUUUAAAGGGUCCGUAGGCGGUUUAGUAAGUCAGUGGUGAAAGCCCAUCGCUCAACGGUGGAACGGCCAUUGAUACUGCUAAACUUGAAUUAUUAGGAAGUAACUAGAAUAUGUAGUGUAGCGGUGAAAUGCUUAGAGAUUACAUGGAAUACCAAUUGCGAAGGCAGGUUACUACUAAUGGAUUGACGCCGAUGGACGAAAGCGUGGGUAGCGAACAGGAUUAGAUACCCUGGUAGUCCACGCCGUAAACGAUGGAUACUAGCUGUUGGGGGCAACUUCAGUGGCUAAGCGAAAGUGAUAAGUAUCCCACCUGGGGAGUACGUUCGCAAGAAUG